UCCAAAAACAAAUAGCAGAGAACAGGAACAAAGUGCGGAGACGAACAGUUUAAAACAUUUGUCUGCAUUCAUUAGCAACAGGGCAUGAUCCAGUACAUUUGGAAUUCAGAUGAUUUAGAAAGAGUUUUCAGCUCAUUUCCCAUAAUUUGAACAAUGAUAAUUGUCAACAUUGCUCAAAUAUUUACCAUUUGCCAAGCUCUAUGCUCAGUGCUUUGCAUAUAUUACUUUGUGUAAUGAGCACACCAGCCUGAUGAGGUUGGUACCAUUAUGAUCCCAUUUUACUGGAUGAGGAAAUAGAGAUGCAGAAAGAAUGGUCAAAUUGUUUGUUCAGAGUCCACAGCUAUUAGACCUGAGGCUCUUGGUACUGUAGGGCAGCAUUGUGCUGAACAAGAAAAGAGUCAAGAUAUAAUCCUACGAGCACAUGAUGAGUAGCUAUUAAUGCAAAACAACAGGCUGAAGGGGAAACCAAAGGGAAAAGGGCACAGCCACAAGACCCAAGGGGAGUGAGAGCCCGUGCCAUGCAUGUAUCAGAGAGAAGAGAGUUCCAGCAAAAGGGAAGAGCAAGGAAUGGUCCAGAGAGAAGAAGCUUCUUUCCAUUACCAAGAGAAGAACAUAUCCCAGUAGCUGCUAUGGCACCAGCCUGGACCCAGCCUAAGACACAUGGAGCAGAUCUGCCCCAGACAACACAUAAACAACUUGCAGCCUGAAGGAGAACCAGCCCAGAAGACCCAGAGACCUGUGAGUCUGACAAUAAAUGCUCACUGUUGAAUGCCACUGAGAUUCUUGUGGUGAUUUGUUAUGCAGCAUUACUAUGAGAAAAACUGACAGAUACAGCCUCCUCCCUUUGCUAUUCAACUCCAACUUAUAAAGUAGGGGGGAGAUCACAGUUAAACAUUUUUCAGGAAAUGACAGCAUCCAUUGUGUUCAUCUCUUCUAAAAUUCCAUUUCUAAUUUGGACAAAAAUGCUAUCAGUCUUUAAAUGAAGUUACGCUGUGAGGGUUUAUAGGUUAGACGUCUUUUUUUUUUUAAUGUGGAGGGCAGCAUGGUUCCUGUGGGUAUUUUGGACUAACAGAAGUUUCCUCUAUCACAUUUGUAGAAUGAAACUCAGCAAAGUGUUAAAAGCACUCAACGCCCAAACACUCCAAACAAAGUUGUUUGAGAAUUUAGUUCUAUGAUAUGUACUUAGGACUGUGCUCAGCCCUCUAAAUUAAGGGAGUGGGGAUUAAUGGUUACCUUUGACAGUGAAUUAAGGCAUAAAGAAACUGAUAAAUUGGUAUCAGAAGGAUCAGAGUAGAUACAAACCAGUACUGACUGGUGAGAAUAACCAAGGAGUUGCUAUUCUCGUGAGAUUACAGAGAGUACCCAGUGUAAGAGUCAUAUUAUGUACUUGCAGAGGAAGGUAUGACUUCCAGGUUUCUCAGUUAAACAUCUUCAUAUUUGAUAUUUUUGAGUUCAAUAAUAUGGCAAUGGGGAAAUUUCCAGGGAUUUGCUGGUUCUAAGUGCAGAAAAAGUGACCCGUAUUGUUACCUGGUCAACAGUUCACAUUAAAAAACGCCUUAACAAGAAAUAAUGUCGUCAACAGGAAAAAUGUUCUUGGCUCCCCACAGACAAAUUUCACAUGUUUUAAUCUACUGAGAACUCAGAAGAUUUGUUUCCUAUUUCCAGAAGCUCAGGAAGCAGAUCCUCUGAGCGCUCCCCCAUGUCCCCUCAGACCCCUUUGCCCCGUCCUGUUCCGGUUGUGUUUUCACUCGCAACAGCCAGCAUCUGUACUUCUUUGGAGGACGGCCUUCAUUUUUUCUCAAAAGAUAAUUGCUCAAUGUAAGGGAAAACAGUUCUAAGAAUAGACUUUACUCAGUUUAUUUUUCUCAUCAUUACAUCUCCGCCUUCUUCUCACCAGAGAUCACAAACUCCUCUCAUUCCCACAGUCAUGUCCCUUUGCACUGUGGCUUUGCAGCUCCGCCUAUCAAGAGAUGGAGUCUACUUCUCUACCCACUGAAUCUGGGCUUGACCGUAUGACUUGCUUUGGCAGAGAAGACAUCAGCACAAGUGAUGCAAGGAGAGACUUGAAAAGUACUUACUCUUUGGGGCUUACUCAUUCUUUCAGCUCUUGAAAACCCUAUGAACACAACCAGGUGAUUAAGCCCAAGCUUGCCUGCUAGAUGAUGAGCAAUACAUGGCCCAGUUACCAUACCCCCCAAAAUUCAUAUGUCGAAGUCCCAAUGCCAGUGCCUCAAAGUGUAACCAUAUUUAAAGACAAGGUCUGUAAGAGAUGAUUACAUUAAGAUGAUGCUCUUAGGGCAGGCCCUAACCCAGUGACUGGUGCUCUUAUAAGAAGAGGAAGAGACACCAAGAGUGUGUGCACACGGAAGAACCACCAUGUGAAGAGGCAGCAAGACGGUAGAAUCUUGGCAACUGCUAGUCAAGGAGAGAGGCCUCAGAGGAAACCAAACCUGCCGACAUUUUGAUCUUGGACUUCCAGCCUUCAGAACUGUGAGAAAAUAAAUUGGUUUAAGCCACCCAGUCUGUGGCAUUUUGUUAUGGCAGCCUUAGCAAAUUAAUGCAGGCUCUUAUGAGAAAAUCUACUCACGUAUUUUUCAUCUUUAAAAAGAACCCAGCCUUUGGAAAUAUUGCCAAAGUCAUUGAUUCAAUCACUACCUGCAAAUAUUAUAUGGUUUUUGGUAAUUAUUGUCUGAAAACCAUUGUAAAAUAAUUCACUGUCUUAUAAUAAUUUCCAGUGUCUCCACUCAAGGUGAGCACAACCACAUUUAGAAAAAUACAGAGUUACGGCUAGCAAUGCUUCAUUUAGGAGAAAGAAGUUAAAUAGUACACACAAAACACACAAUUCAAAAUGGGUUUUCUUUUUCCCAAACAAAAAAAUUAUUCUGUAUUAAAAAAAUGAUCAUUCCUUUGUGAUUUGGGCAUCUAAAAUAUUUUAAUGAUAAAACAGAAUAUGGCAUAUGUGAUAUAUAACAAAAAUAGGGGCUCUUCUGGCAAAGUUUAAAACAUCUACAAUUAAGUGUGUAAAAAUUACAGCAAUUUUAAGUUAUAUUUCAAUAAAAAAAAUUUAUUAAUUUAUUAUUGCUGACAUAAUGUACAGC